CAUGGCACAAUGAGGAAUAUAUAUUAUUAACAAUCUGUAAGAUUCUUUGAAUCUUUGAUUGACAUAUUAUUAGUCCUUUUCAUUCUGAGUGCCCA